UCCUCCUUUAUGAAGUCAGCUUCUAUCUACUUAAUGUUAUUAGUUUUGGAUGAAUGCUAGCUGGCUUUGCUUCUAUUAACUCUAUCUUCUGCCAAAUUUGAAAUUCACUCUCUUAAAAUUAUCUCUGUUGGUAAUGGAUCUUCUGACUGGAUGUCAAUUAAUUAGGAUUGUUCUUUACAACUGUAGGCAGCAACUGUUCAGAUUUCUUGACGACAAGUAUACAUUGAAGAGCGCAGACAAGAUAGCAACAUCCCAUCUCGAUUAGCAAAAGACAUAACGAGGAAAAUCAGAGAAAACGGAAACACAGAAAAAUAGCAAAAAGUAUAAGUGAUCUCUAAAUUAGAGGAACAACCUCAUCAAAUUUUGUUCAUCGAAGAAGGUGUAGAGGAGAAUAAUACUGAUACUGGUGAAGGAACUGGUGAUGAUGAAUGCAUCUCUAUUAUUAAUUAACGAAACAUAGAAAAUGUAGGUUCUUUGCACUUGCAAGAUCAGUGUUAGUUCAAUAUAUUCAAAUUGGGAUACAUUCAGGACGAGUGGACAUUAGAUUGUACUGAGGCAGGGGAGCUAGAGGACAGAGCACAUUAUCGCCAGGCCGGUGAAAGCAGUGUACCUGAAACUUAAGAUACAAAUGACGAGGUCUCCCUUUGCUCUCUUAACAUUUAUUUUUAAAUCAACGUUUUCAGUAGAACAAUUAUGUGUGCUCUUUUCAUUCUUUUUGAAACUGUUCGGAGCUGAGUUCUAUUCUCGGUCUCAAGUAUGCUGUUAAAGUUAUUUCAAUACUAUUUAGGCUUAAGUACUUGAUGUAGAUGAAUAUGGAUAUAAUAUUAUCCUAGAAAUUACUGUUAUCUUUAGUUAGUAUCUGAUUUUAUUUGAAGUU